GGGGCUGUAGCUCCGUGGUUGAGCGCUUGCCUCGCAUGUAUGAGGAACUGGGUUCGAUCCUCAGCAUCACA
rnacentral:tRNA from 1 species